UUGGCAUCAAGGAAUUAAAGCACAUUUUCUC
rnacentral:piRNA from 3 species